CAGUAGCCGCGGUAAUACGUAGGGGGCUAGCGUUGCUCGGAAUCACUGGGCGUAAAGGGUGCGUAGGCGGGUCUUUAAGUCAGGGGUGAAAUCCCGGGGCUCAACCUCGGAACUGCCUUUGAUACUGGGUAUCUUGAGUCCGGGAGAGGUUGGUGGAACUCCGAGUGUAGAGGUGAAAUUCGUAGAUAUUCGGAAGAACACCAGUGGCGAAGGCGGCCAACUGGCCCGGUACUGACGCUGAGGUGCGAAAGCGUGGGGAGCGAACAGGAUUAGAUACCCCCGUAGUCCCUGUCUCUUAUAC
rnacentral:rRNA from 1 species